GACAGAGGGUGCAAACGUUGUUCGGAAUUACUGGGCGUAAAGCGCGUGUAGGCUGCCUCGCAAGUCGGAUGUGAAAGCCCUGGGCUUAACCGUGGAAGUGCACCCGAAACUGUAGAGCUAGAGUCCCGGAGAGGAUGGUGGAAUACUUGGUGUAGAGGUGAAAUUCGUAGAUAUCAAGUGGAACACCGGUGGCGAAGGCGGCCAUCUGGACGGUGACUGACGCUGAGACGCGAAAGCGUGGGUAGCAAACAGG
rnacentral:rRNA from 1 species